rnacentral:rRNA from 1 species
AUUGAACGCUGGCGGCAGGCCUAACACAUGCAAGUCGAACGAGUGGCGGACGGGUGAGUAAUGUGUGGGUAACCGCCCGUUGUAGGGGGAUUAAUCCUGGAAAAGGUAGCUAAUACCGCAUACUAUCAGAUGUGCCCAGAUGGGAGUAGCUAGUCGGUGUGGUAACGGAUCACCCAGGCGACGAUCCCUCGCUGGGCUGAGAGGAUGACACGCCACACUGGAACUGAGACACGGGCCAGACGCCUACGGGAGGCAGCAGUGGGGAAUAGUGCACAAUGGGCGCAAGGCUGAUGCAGCCAUGCCGCGUGUAUGAAGAAGGCCUUCGGGUUGUAAAGUACUUUCAGCGGGGAGGCGUUACCCGCAGAAGAAGCACCGGCUAACUCCGUGCCAGCAGCCGCGGUAAUAC